GGCUUAACACAUGCAAGUCGAACGCCCCGCAAGGGGAGUGGCAGACGGGUGAGUAACGCGUGGGAAUCUACCGUACCCUACGGAACAACAGUUGGAAACGACUGCUAAUACCGUAUACGCCCUACGGGGGAAAGAUUUAUCGGGGUAUGAUGAGCCCGCGUUGGAUUAGCUAGUUGGUGGGGUAAAGGCCUACCAAGGCGACGAUCCAUAGCUGGUCUGAGAGGAUGAUCAGCCACAUUGGGACUGAGACACGGCCCAAACUCCCACGGGAGGCAGCAGUGGGGAAUAUUGGACAAUGGGCGCAAGCCUGAUCCAGCCAUGCCGCGUGAGUGAUGAAGGUCUUAGGAUUGUAAAGCUC
rnacentral:rRNA from 1 species